CAGUAGCCGCGGUAAUACGUAGGGUGCAAGCGUUAAUCGGAAUUACUGGGCGUAAAGCGUGCGCAGGCGGUUAUAUAAGACAGAUGUGAAAUCCCCGGGCUCAACCUGGGAACUGCAUUUGUGACUGUAUAGCUAGAGUACGGCAGAGGGGGAUGGAAUUCCGCGUGUAGCAGUGAAAUGCGUAGAUAUGAGGAGGAACACCGAUGGCGAAGGCAAUCCCCUGGGCCUGUACUGACGCUCAUGCACGAAAGCGUGGGGAGCAAACAGGAUUAGAUACCCCAGUAGUCCCUGUCUCUUAUAC
rnacentral:rRNA from 1 species